CUAGGUCUCAUCCAUAGGACAAGAUAUGACAAAGCUAAAAUGUACACACACACACAAAAUACACACACAGAGAGAGAAAUGUUGAGGAAGUUACUUCUGUCAUGAACUUUUCUGGUUGGUGGAGAUGAGUGUAGCUGCUCUUAACUCAGUUAUAGGACCAUUAACACAAUGCAGUAAAUUGGAGAGCUCUCUCAUCAAAAUUUCAUUACCUUUUGCUUUUUGUAAUGAAAGAAUCUCUCUGGACCAGAUUCUUUGUGUCAAAUAAUUUUCUAGCCUUUAUUUUACUACAAAUAAACAUGUUACUUUAAUGUCUGGUUAUAUCACCUGUAUUCAUGGCUCAUUACAAACUAACUUUUAAAAAGUUAUUCACAUUUCCUUUCCUCUGUGAGGCUUUGGUUAAUUCACAUUCUUCAUGAGGGACAUCAAUCUCCUUGUUACCAAUUUCUUUAAAUUAAACAUAUUAUUACAGCCAAUCCAAAUCAGUUUUUGCUUUAGGGUCAAAUAGCACAAGGGAACAUCUCUCUGGUGGACCUACAGUAAAGUUUAAAAUCCACCUUUAAAAAGUCUUCAGAAAAGUUUUUCCUUCCACUCCAACUCCUCUUUUACAAGUACAAUCUGGAUGAGUUUAUAAUCAAGAAUGUAAUUGACUUCAGGUGACAUAUUCCACCAAUCCUAAUAUAAUAUUUUAACAAUCCAGUUUCUCUUUUCAAUGAGCAUCAGAUAAAAUGAAGAUUGCAAGCAGUAUGACACUAAUUGGCCCUGGACAUUUUUUUGCACAUUUAAGAAAAAAAUCAAUAAGCAAAUACUUCAAAGUUAAUUGUCAUGGAGGAUAGGGAGAAGGAAUGAGAAUCUAGUAUUGGCUUUAGGCCAAUUUGGCUACCUACUGGACCCCACUCCAAAACCAAUUCUAACAUAUUUAUGUACUGCAAUUACAUAGAAAAUUACAUGGACUAGCCCACUGGAAAAUUUGCACACUUUUCCGACUCUCAUCAAAUUUUGUAUCAAUCAUAUUCAUAAGAUAUGAGGGUUAUUGACUUCUGUAACUAAGGGCAAUUAAAAAAGGGAAAUCUGAAUUUUUUGGUUAAUACACAUUGAUUCACACUAUAAUUUACUUUAUACUUUACAAACUUUAUUAAAUAAUGGGCAUUGCUAAGGUUCGUUAUCUUAUAUACACUAUUUUAAAUUGUUUUACUAGAGGCAAUUUCCACAGGUAGUAUUCUAUUAAGUGAAAAUUGAUUUUUUAAAAACUGAGUCUCCAGUACAGGGAUUUAAUAAGACAGAAGACACAUUUCAAAAAUGCACAAAACUUUUGGUUUCCUGGGACCUUACACAAUAAUACAACAUGUCCCUGGCUAUUUAAAAACUAAGUUAAAGCAUAGAACUGAUGAUCUGCAGCAUCAAGUUCACAAAAAGGGGUAUAUACACAGUCCUCAAAAUCUGCACCCUAAUAAAAAGAAUUCAUUUGAAGACAUAAAAUACAGCUUUGUCUAAACAUGUAAUUACAAUGAUAUAUACAAAUGCACUUUAUACAAUAAAGGGAGCUAUUUUAAAGCUCUCAUUUGCAGGGUGUAUGCGAAGUGUCUUAUAUAUUUUCAAUAGUAGACAUCAAAACCAUGCAAUUAGCAAAGCAGCAUCAAUUUGAAGAAUCGUUUUUAUAAAAUGAAAAAUGAUCAGCUCAUUCUUCUCAAGAAUUCAAUUCACGCCAAUCACAAAAAAAAAUGGAGUCAACUUCAUUCCAGGCAUAUUAAUAUUCAAGUAGCUUUCUGUUUCCCAAGGACACUGAAUGAUCUUGCUAUUUUUU
ensembl:lncRNA